rnacentral:lncRNA from 1 species
CUAAUAUCUGAGAAUGAGUCCUUGUAUCUGAGGUUGAAUCCAAGAAGCUGAAGCUGAAUUCCAAUAGCUGAUAUGUGGGGCGCAAGAAGCAGAUGGCCGAUGCAGGAUGGGGCACAUGGGUGGAGAGCUGCGGGAUGCGUUGUGUAUGGGAUGUGGGGAUGCAGGACACCCCCUAGCCCCACGUGCCCAAUUACAUACAUGUGUGUGCCAUCCCCCCAGGCCCCACGCAGCGCCCAAAGCUGAACCUGAAGCCGCGCAGCGCUCCGAAGGAGGAGGAGAGCACAGCGGCCCCUGCACCGCAGUCCAGCCGCGCCGCCUCCAUCUUUGGGGGGGCCAAACCCGUGGACACGGCCGCCCGCGAGCGUGAGGUGGAGGAGAGGCUGCAGAAGGAACAGGAGAAGCUGCAGCGGCAGCUGGAGGACGACAAGAGGCUGGAGCGGCGGCCCAGGGAGCGGUACCCCAGCAGCCGCAGUGAGGACAACCCCGAGCGGUCACGAACAGGCAGCGAGUCCUCACAGAGCGGAGCUGCAGGACCUGCUGGCACCACCGCCGGCACCGGUCCCACCGGCAGGGGGAGGGGGCGGGGGGGNNNNNNNNNNNNNNNNNNNNNNNNNNNNNNNGGGGGGUGCAGGGAGGGCUCAUCCCCAGCCCUGCCCACCGUUACGUGCCCCCCUGCAGCCACAAGGAGGAGGGAGAGUGAGAAGUCAGUGGAGGGCGAUGCGUGCGGCCGCGAGGAGGAGGGCCGUGAGGAGAAGCAGCCGCUGAAGGUGAUGCCCGCGCCGCCCCCCAAGGAGAAUGCGUGGGCCAAGCGCAGCAGCAGCACCGCCGGGCGCUCCCCAGGCUCUGACUCUGAGCAGCACUCACCCAGCAGCAGCCAGAUGGCUUCCCGCCCACCUGCAGAGAAUGGGGCCACCCCAAGGAGCACCCACCGGAGAGGGGAUGAGAACAAGCCAGAUGGGGGCCGGGAUGGCCCGAAGGCGCGCAGUGGGAGCUCGGCCGAGAGGAAAGAGGGCCGCAAGGAGCAUGAGGCAAGAGCUGCGCCUGAGCCAAAGAGACUGGAGGACAGCCCAGCCCCCUUCAGCCACGCCAGCAAGUAUGCAGCGCUGUCAGUGGAUGGCGAGGAGGAGGAGUGCGGCGAGUGAAGGCCGUCCCCAACCCCAACACCGAAAUGGAACAGAAAACCCAGCGCCGCCCUGCCGAAAUCAAGCCAAGAAUCAGCAUAAGGAAAGGAAAAAAAGGAGGAAAACCGAUAUUGCCAGGCCCUGCCGCUCCGCCCUGCUUCGUUUGGGGUUUUUUUUUGUGGGGGGGUGGGGGUCUUUGGGGGGGUCUGGCCUCAAAUCUCCUCCCCAUCUCCCUCCCUGCCCUGUUGCUGUUGGGGUGGGAGUGCUGUGGGGUGUGGGGCUGUGCGGCACCGGGCGCCGUUGGGUUUUCUGUUGGUUUCCUCCAAUAAAGGUGAUCGGAACGGCCGCACCAGCACUGCGUGGUGGGGGGCACCCGGGGGUCUUCUCAUCCACAUCAUCACCCCAUCCCAUCCUGUUCUCAUCCAUACCCCAAAACCUGCCAUCCUCAUCCCCGUUCUCAUCUGUCCUAAUCCCAUCCCAUCCCAUCCCUGUCACAUUCCCAUUCCCUACCCCAUUCCAAUUCCAAAUCCCGCCCCCACCCUAAUCCCAUCCCCAUUCCAUCCCAUCCUUAUCCAUCCACCCUUCCCUACCAUCCCUGUCACCAUCUCAAUCCCAGUCGCAUCCCAUCCCUGUCACAUUCCUGUUCCCAUUCCAAUCCCCACCCUCAUCCUAUCCGACCCCAAUCCCAUCCCUAUUCCACUCGCACACCCCA